UUGGGGAUUUAUAUAAAAGGUUGGGCCUGCCCGGUGAUCUGAAAUGGUUUAACGGCUGCGAUUGAAACCGUACUAAGGUAGCAUAAUAAUUUGCCCUUUAAUUGGGGGAGAGAAUGAAUGGUUUGACGGUAAAAAAGCUGUUUUAAAAAUAAAAAAAGAAGUUAACUUUUAAGUGAAAAGGCUUAAGUUUUUAUAAAAGACGAGAAGACCCCGUCGAGCUUAAUUAGAAUAACUUAAAUGUAGGUUAUUUAAAAUUUUAUUGGGGCAAUAGAAAAUGAAAUGAAUCAUUUUUUUUAUUAUAAGGAUCCAGUUUUGACUGAAAAAAGCAAAAGCUACCGCGGGGAUAACAGGGUAAUUUUUUCUGAGAGUUCAUAUUAAAGAAGAAGUUUGCUACCUCGAUGUUGGAUUAGAAUUUCUUUAUGCUUGCAGCAGGUAUAAUAGU
rnacentral:rRNA from 1 species